rnacentral:tRNA from 1 species
CGGAGCAUGGCUCAGUUUGGUAGAGCGCCUGGUUCGGGACCAGGAGGUCGUGGGUUCAAAUCCCGCUGCUCCGA